rnacentral:sRNA from 1 species
GCUAAAGUUUACAAUGAAAAGUUGCUCUAUCAAGGCAAAGGGGAAUAUUUAAUGAAAAAAAGCUCUACAUAUUAAAAAUUAUUACCGAAAUUGCUGUAUUGUUAGUAUUGUACGUAAUCUUAUAGAACAAUUUAAUUACUCUGUAAAUUACUAUUUAGAAGUUUAAGCAAUCCCAGAUUUGGCAAAAAUACGCCCCUACAAUUAGAGACGGGACUACAAACAAUCUAAAUUGGUCGUUCGCCAAAUCAUUAAGACACCGGAGAGACUUCACAUCGGGUUCGGCAUUUAUUAAUCUGAGUUUGUUGACAAAAAAUUGAAAAAAAAAUCAAGAAAAUGAAAAGAAUAUUUAUCUCCAAAUAUUUUGAGUGAUGGUUGGGAAACGGGAGUACUUGCUUAGAAAUGGGAACUGGUGGGUCGUUUCUGCAUAAUCCAGAGGAUGAUGAUAUAUUUGGCAACGAUUUAAAUGGAAGCAGUCAUGGUGUCAUCAAGAGAAUUCCUGUGGAAAUAAAACCAAGAGGAAAGUUGGGUAUAUUUAGUCAUGGCUCCAGCAGAAACAAGAGGAUUGGGGGUAGUUUGCAGUCUGCGCUGUCCGUGGAUUUGGAGAAUCCGGAAGCGGAAAAGAUCAAGAAGGAGUUCGAGAUGUAUAGACUAAACAAAGAAAAUGACAUCGCAGACAUGAAGAAGAAAGAGACGAGGUUACAGAUAGAAAACAAGAGACUGCGGGCGGAACUGUUGGUGUUACAGAAGACCUGUACCAAUCUGAGGGCAGAGAGAGACAAAGCCAUUGAUGCGGAACAAGCUGCUCAAGCCCGAGCGGCAGCAUUUCAAAGUGACAGGGACAAAGUUCAGAGGAAUUUCAAAAUAUUCAGAGAAAAUAUGGAAUUACAGCUACAGACUCUACUAAGAGAUAAACGAGCCCUAGAAAACAAGAUAUUCAAAGUGGCAUCAGGUUAUAGCCUAGAGGAAACUGAAGCAUCUAACAGGCCUGACUUUGAUGCAUCACUAGGAAACGCCAACCCUGGAGACUGGUGGACUGCCCUGGAGAGUGAACCAUCACUAAGUAACAUAAGCCAGGGGCACCAGACUACACUAAGGGGACCAGAAUUUGCUCAGUGUAUGAUGGAGACCGAGGGGCCAUUCAACAACAUCAACAGGGAGGACUGGAGUUCUGUGAUGACCAGUCUAACCAAAAUCAUCCCCAGUCUCCCCGAGCAUGCCCUGAGUCCGGUCAUAAGGAUCUAUGUGUCCGCCCCUAGGGACACACAGGUAGAAGUGGAGAUAUUCCAGAAGGAGCAUUUCCCUAGACUGGCUGCCCUGUGUAAUGGGGAAGGGAGGGAGCUGAUAUUGAUACACCUCACAAUGGAAGACUCGGUCAACCCUUCUCCUCAGAUGAUUGAAAGACACCAGUUGACAAGGAAGAGACAGAUAGAGAAGUCGUCAAUAUUUGUGGGUUUUCUUGGAGAUGCUACCGACAGGUUUACUAGUCUGGAAUACAAAUUUGGUUAUUUGGAGAAUAACAACAAUCUCUCAGCUGUAUUUUCAUUCAGAGAUGGGAAAGGUAACAGGGCAAGUCAUACGGAAGCCAGUGAAUUAAAGAACAAAGUCAGGCAAAAAGGAAAUGCUAAAAUCAUUGAUGGCUACACAGCACCUUCAAGAGGAGUAGAGCAAGCUGUCGCAGAAAUAGAAAAAAUGAUUAAAACAGAGGUGGGUAUGGACACUGGACAGGAGAGAAUUGAGGAUGAUGAGACGAUCGCGGGGGAGAUGGAGGGACCGGACAAGAUCUGUGGGGGACAGGUGUGGGACACACAUGGGGAUUAUGAACAGAUGGAGGCGUUUAAUUUCGCCAUCAAAUCCAGCUGUGAGCUUGGUUUUGAAAAGCAUUACGAGAGAUUGAAUGCACACAUUUCUUCUGCUGGUCUCCUUCCACCAUUGUUGAUCAUUGGUACCCCAGGAUCUGGCAGAUCUUUGCUGCUGGCUCAGUGGAUGAAUUUACAACAGGAGAAGACCCCAUCUGGUCUAGUGUUGUACCACUUUGUGGGGUCAGAGACGUCAGUCAGUGCUGACCCUAUCUUUAUGAUCAGGCGAUUAACUUCUCAGUUGAUGCAGAAGGUGAACUCCCCUCCUGCCCUGACGGCCGACCCAAUCAGACUGGUGGAGGAAUUUCCAAGAUGGCUGGAAAAAGUCUCGGAGAAAACUCCUGGUGGAGUCAUCCUGGUCCUAGACUCCAUCAACAGAUUUCAGCAAGCAGAGAUACAUCUGAAAUGGCUGCUUGAUCCAUUACCUGUGGAUGUCAGGGUCAUUGUGACGGCUGAUGAAGAGACCUGUCCUCAGGCCUGGAGAGCAUGGCCCACCCUUCAUGUUGAACCACUCAGCAAUAAGAACGUGAAGGAGCUGAUCCAUGCCGAACUUGCCACAAUGGACGCACAGAUCGGUUCAGAGGAUAGCUUGAUCCUGACACACUGUAGGACCCCCGCCACCUGUAGUCCUCUCUAUGUCAUGGUCCUGACCAGGCACAUUGCAGGGUAUUUAAAGCAUGAUGGCCAGGUGGGAUCACAACUGGAUGUGUUAUUGACUUGUCAGGAUUGUGUCAGUCUGUAUGGAAAAAUCCUGGAUCUGCUCCGGAUCAGUCUGGAAUCCCAGGAGACAAGGGGAUUCCUUAAAUCAAUACUGCGAUACCUGUAUGCAAGUCGAGGUGGCCUAUGUGAGACAGAGUUGCUGGCCCUGAUUCCACACCUCACCGUUAACUUCCUGUCUGUGUUUACUGAGGUCCUCACCGACCACCUAGUGCUCAAAUACCAAGGGGGACUACUCACAUUUGCUCACGAACAAGUUAGGUAUGCUGUUCAGGACUACUGCUUUGGAAAGGAUGAGGCCAAACUUGUGGUUCAACUGAGGAAAGAUCUCACCCGAUACUUCUCACAGUUCAUGAAUCCAGGGCAAGUAACAUGCAGAGUAGCUGAUGAGUUGCCAUGGUUACUAAAGAUAGAUGGAGACAAAGAGAGUCUGCAGAAAUGCAUAUUGAAUCUCUGUAUAUUCCAAAGACUUUAUGCAAGGGGCCGAUGUGCAGAGUUGAUCAGUUACUGGCAGUUUAUUACUGCUGACAAGAACAGCAUGGCACAGGCUUACUUCACAGCAACCAGGAAAAUGGAGGAGGUGGUAGGUCAGAAUGGUGGCCUGAUCACUCUCCCCCGCAUAGCCGACAUGUACGAGUCUCUGGGACGCUUCCUCAAAGACCUGGGACUCCUCAACCAGGCUGUUCCAGCUCUACAAAGAGCAUUGGAGAUACGGGAGAUUGCCCUGGAUCCAGACCAUCCCAUCGUAGCCCGGUCUCACCACCAGUUGGCAGGACUCCAUGCUCAGUGGGGGAAGUUCUCCACCGCCGAGGCUUUCUACAAACAGGCCCUGGAUAUCUAUGUGGACAGAUAUGGCUCCGAUCACUAUCUAGUGGCCAAGGAACUGGAUGCUCUCGCCGUGCUGUACCAGAAACAGGACAAGCAUGACCUAGCUGAACCUCUGAAGAAGCGAGCUGUUUCUAUCAGAAAGAAAGUAAAGACUCCUAGGUCUAAUUCUGGCCAGAUGAAAUCAGUGGUACAAAGAAGAGCUCUUCAGCUUGAGGAGUUAGCAAUAGGCCCAGACUCACCUGACCUGGCGAGAACCCUUAAUGAGCUUGGAGUGUUGCAUUAUUUACAAAAUGACCUAGAAGCAGCAGAAUCUCUAUUGAAGAGAUCGUUGGAGAUGAGAGAAGCAACACUGGGCAGCGAUCACCCUGACAUUGCUCAGUCGCUGAACAACUUGGCAGCUCUGUACAACGACAGGAAACAGUAUGACAAAGCGGAGCCUCUGUAUGAGAGAGCUCUACAAAUAAGACUCCAGCAUUUCAGUGUAAACCAUGACAGUGUAGCCUCAGUCAUCAAACACCUGGCACUGCUGUACCGGAAACAGGGUAAAUUUGAGAAGGCUGAGCCACUGUAUAAGCGAGCUAUAGAGAUAAGAGAGAAGUCUUUUGGAUCAGACCACCCCUCUGUAGCCACUGCCUGUGUCAACCUGGCCGUCCUAUACUCACAGCAGAACAAAUAUACUGAAGCAGAGCCACUGUAUAAGAGGGCCCUACAGAUCUAUGAGGAGAGCAUGGGUCCCCAUCACCCCAGGGUGGCAGAGACCUUGAGAAACCUUGCAGUCAUGAAAUAUGAAAUGAGAGACUUUGAGACUGCAGCCAAACUGUACAAGAGAGCCACAGAAAUCAAGGACGGGGAUAAUUCAUAUGGGGUCAAGGUCAUGUCACGGAGGUGUUCAAGCAGCGACACAAAUUCUACAGUCAAAUUGAUGAUGAACUCAUAGUUAGGUUGGCAUAUUUCUUGAACAAUCAUCACAAGAUAAUCAAGAAAUCAUAGAGGUUAUCUAUUGAACGAAAAUGGAAGAAAAGAUAUGUUAUAAAUUGUACUGUUUUUAUAGUACCUCUUCCCCAUUUGGUUUAUUUCAUAUAGAGGACAGUAAAAGUGCCAAAGAUAUGUUGAUGUUCAAAGAUAAUUAUAUAUAUAUAUAUCUAUGACACUGGCUUUGUACUUGGCUCUUAGUUCAAAUCUCAUUGAAUGAAAGUGAAGUUUGUUAAAUAUGGUAGAUAUAUCUUUACAAUGAGUAUUUCUUCCCAAUCUUAUUGAUCUUUGAUAUUUGAAUUGUAUUUAAUAUUCAAAUAUAGUAAAGUCCCAAAUUUUGCCAAAGAAAUGUCCGUCCCGUUAAUUUCAUCCGUCCUCGAUAAUUAUUAAUACUUGUAUCCGUCUUGGAUCGGAACAGAUCCCACGAUAAAUAUAGGCUGUAAUGUUUUAUUAGUUUCAAAUUCAAAUCAUUCUUUUAAAUGAUGUGCAAAAGGGUAUUUUACUUAUAUAUUUAUAGAUAAGAAUC